AUAGCCAUACUGGUAUCCUGGGAGCACACGUGUGUGGAGGAUAGAGAUGUGUGCGUGUUAGGAACAUUAUCACCACUACCGUUUUGUAUUGCUGAACCUUACUUUCAUUUAUUUUCUUAUACGGCUAGUUGAGCUACAGAGUUGGGAUAGGCUUAGCUUGUGUACAGGUUAGUUUAUCAUAUAAGAUUUCUAUUUGAUGUCAUUUUAUUUUUGUACUUUUCUAUACAAAUAUUUUGUUUUAUAUAUCUAUCAGAUAAAGAACCCUUACUCUUAA